GUUAAGCGACUAAGCGUACACGGUGGAUGCCCUGGCAGUCAGAGGCGAUGAAGGACGUGCUAAUCUGCGAUAAGCGUCGGUAAGGUGAUAUGAACCGUUAUAACCGGCGAUUUCCGAAUGGGGAAACCCAGUGUGAUUCGUCACACUAUCAUUAACUGAAUCCAUAGGUUAAUGAGGCGAACCGGGGGAACUGAAACAUCUAAGUACCCCGAGGAAAAGAAAUCAACCGAGAUUCCCCCAGUAGCGGCGAGCGAACGGGGAGCAGCCCAGAGCCUGAAUCAGUGUGUGUGUUAGUGGAAGCGUCUGGAAAGGCGUGCGAUACAGGGUGACAGCCCCGUACACAAAAAUGCACAUACUGUGAGCUCGAUGAGUAGGGCGGGACACGUGGUAUCCUGUCUGAAUAUGGGGGGACCAUCCUCCAAGGCUAAAUACUCCUGACUGACCGAUAGUGAACCAGUACCGUGAGGGAAAGGCGAAAAGAACCCCGGCGAGGGGAGUGAAAAAGAACCUGAAACCG
rnacentral:rRNA from 3 species